rnacentral:rRNA from 1 species
CUAAGCGGGAAGCAGGCUUUAAGAUGAGUUCUCACUGGGACUUUAAGUCCCCUGAAGGGCCGUUGGAGACUACAACGUUGAUAGGCAAGGUGUGGAAGUGCUGCGAGGCAUUGAGCUAACUUGUACUAAUGACCCGUGAGGCUUAACCAUACAACACCCAAGUGGUUUUAAG